CAUGGGCGGAAGCCUGAAUGCAGCAACGCCGCGUGAGUGAUGAAGGCUUUCGGGAUCGUAAAGCUCUUUGAUCAGGGAUGAUAAUGACAGUACCUGAAAAACAAGCCACGGCUAACUACGUGCCAGCAGCCGCGGUAAUACGACGUGCCCGCAGCCGCGGUAAUACGAA
rnacentral:rRNA from 1 species